UGGGGGAUUUUCCAAUUUUACAACUAUUUUUAAAAUUAUUAUCGUGAUAGCGUGUUGCCAUGACAAUGCUUCGUGUUUGGAAAACAUAAUGGUUUUGUCUGCAAGGCGAGGGUAUUUUCUAGUAUUUUAUUAAAAUUGUAUAGCUGAAGACGUGGUAUUUGCGUGAAUGCAUUGACGUUGUUAUUAGUAGAUAUAUCCAAUUGCUGUAAAGGGUUUAAACAUAAGAGUUUGAGAGAGUUUGGAAUAGUUACUUCCGACGUCCAACUAAAUUUCUGCCUCGAAUAAAGAUUACCUUUCGAACCAAUUGUUUCGUGGCAUUCAUCGUCAGAUCACCGUGAUUGGCUUCAGUUAUUCGUAGAUCUCGUUCAAGUUAUCGAGGCCCUCGCGCGUGCGUAUGCAGUCGUACAGCGCGUAUACCUAGAAGUUAGUUCCUUACAAAGACCUCUUUAACGUUAUAACAUCCUCUAAAGAACAAAGCAUAAUCGAGUAAGGCAUAAUCCUAACUGUGAAAGAUUUGAAAAUAUCCGGGUAAGAUUUUACAAUGAUCUUAGCCUACAAGAUUCUGCCAAGAUUAUAUUGCGAUCUUACUAUAGAUCCGGUUAUGAUUUUAACACGUCUUAUAAGCUCCUUCGUAAAAUCUUACAGCUAGGUUUCCGAAAUAGAAGAUUUUACUAUCAUCUUGCAAGACCCUGUAUGAAUAAUAAUAACCUUUUUUGUUAUUAUAUCAAGAUCCUUAACAAAAUUUGCCUUUAUUAGGUCCUUUAUAGGAUAUACUGAGAACAUGUUCGCAUAUAACAAUACAAAUACGUAAGAAUUAUGUUAUUUUCCUUAGCCCAUGAGUAAUUCCCAAGAGUCGGCUGUACGCAAGCUUUACUACUUUAAAACCUGCACUAUCUUUUAGUUUUAUAGGAUGGGUUGCAGCUAUAAAGGAUGGGGCUGCACCUACAUAGGAUGGCCGGUCUACACCGAAAUAUACAGCUAAAAAUAAUCGCUGAUUAGUAUAUAAUCGCUAUAAUAUAUAUAACCACUUAAUAAAUUAUGAAGAAAACACCAUAUCACAUGUGACAUGUCAUAUUGUACUAUGUCGGAGCUUGCCUCAAUUAACCAAUUUCGGGGAUCGUGACUAAAACACCACACGAGUACAUACGAGUAACAUACGAGUAACACACAAGUACAUACGAGUACAUACGAGUAACACACCAGUACAUACGAGUAACAUACGAGUACAUACGAGUAACAUACGAGUACAUACGAGUAACACACGAGUACAUACGAGUACAUACGAGUAAAAUACGAGUACAUACGAGUAGAAUACGAGUACAUACGAGUAAAAUACGAGUAGUAAACUUGUUUUUAGUGUUUGUAGAUUGAAUGAAGGCAAAAAGAUCGUCUUCUCUGUCGAAAAACGUGGAAUGGGGGAAUGGAGGAACGGGGAAUGGGCAAUGGGAGAACGGGGAAUGCGGGAACGGGGAAACGAAAAACGGGGGGAGGUGGACAGGGGAAUCGGGGAAUUAUGAAUUAUUAUUUAUACGUAAUAUUAAUCAUAUGUACGGGAGGAAAAAGAACAGAAAAAAGAAACAGAAAUUCGACAGGACAAUCGGGGAAUUACGAAACUAUAAAACGGACUCUGGUGUCUUGGGAAUUAGAAAACCGCUCAAUGAAUUAAAACUAGUAAAGAAAUUUAGCGAAGCUUUCCUUUAUUAGUACAGCGUAUCAUAAAAAGGUCAAUCCACAUUGCUUAUGUCCGAUCAUUAAGUAAUAUUAAUAAUAAUAACAUUGCUUAUGUCAUUACUAAUAUACUUGCUAUAUAGUAAAACAAACUUAAGGACUAGAUGCAAGCCCAAGGCAGUCCUUAUGGUCCAUAUGAUAUCUUAAAGUGAUUAUCCUAUUUUAAAUAUCUUACAAAGCAAAACUAACAAAACACAAAAUACUUCAAAAUACGCAGAUUUUAAGCUAGCAAUUUAAGUUGGCAAGUACGUUUCUAAAGGACUCAGCCGAACUCUCCUGCAAGCCUUUGGACGUGCUCC